rnacentral:lncRNA from 1 species
AUUAUAUUGCUAUAUUUAUUAUCAACUGAUUAUUAAUUAUAUUAUUAAUAAUUAUUGCUAAUAUGCCAUUAAAUUGAUUUCGAUAAAAGUUAAAUACUAUAAUUUGAUAAGGAGGCAAAAAUUUCUGUGAUAAGUAGCCAUCAACUGUUUUCCAACAUGUACAUUUCCUUGCUGACAAUGAAUAGGUUAAGGCCACUGUAUACACACAAACAAAUGAACAAACAGUUGUAUGUUACUAGAAAGUUCUGUAAGGUUUUGCAGAGUUCUAGAAAUUUCCAGAAGAAUGCAGCACUGAAUCAUUUGGAAUGUUCUAGAAGUAAGUAAAUUACAAAAUAGCAAAGUUUGUGAGGAAUAGUAGACAUUUUCUAUAGUUUUGAGGGCUAAGUAAUUAAGAAAUAAUAAUUACUAUUCUGAACAAAAAAAAUAUUAAAAAUUUAUUAUAGUGUUAUCCAUAUAGAUAAGAUACAUUUUUAAUUUAUCUACAAACAAACUUUAGACUAAAUUUAAUGAAUUAAUCAGAUAAAUGGUGAAAUACUAUACAGUAUUUAAAAUAUAUCCUAUUGUGGGACCAUUGGACAUAUUCAUAUAGGAUUUUGGUUUACUUGCAAUAUAUGGCACAAUUUGGAUAAAGACAAGUAAUCAGACUUGAGUGACACAGACUAACAGAUCAAUAACAAAUAAUUUUAAUUGAGAGAGAGAUUUCUUUACAAAGAUAAAAGGAGCCUGAUGAUAAUCAUUUUGGGAAAAUAAAUAUUUUUUUCUUAAUUGAAUGUAUUCAACGAGGAAAAAGAAAUGACUUUCUGCAUUGGGUCCAAUAUUCUUUUCUUUGAAGUCCCAGGGCUGACUGUCCAUGCAUGUGUGUCCAGGGCAAACAAACUGACCUUUUUCUUCAUCUUUUUCCCAGGAAAAGACAGAAUGUUUAUCAACAAUUGUCUUUCAUUGAUGUCUUCUAAUUUAUUACAUCAGCAAGUAAUAAAAACUUUUCUUUCUGAUACCCUAUCUCUUCUUUGUUUUUAAUACUCCAAUGUUUAUUGAUUAAUUUUUUCUCUCCCUGAG